rnacentral:rRNA from 1 species
GACGAACGCUGGCGGCGUGCUUAACACAUGCAAGUCGAACGGAAAGGCCCCGCUUUUGUGGGGUGCUCGAGUGGCGAACGGGUGAGUAACACGUGAGUAACCUGCCCUUGACUUUGGGAUAACUUCAGGAAACUGGGGCUAAUACCGGAUAGGAGCUCCUGCUGCAUGGUGGGGGUUGGAAAGUUUCGGCGGUUGGGGAUGGACUCGCGGCUUAUCAGCUUGUUGGUGGGGUAGUGGCUUACCAAGGCUUUGACGGGUAGCCGGCCUGAGAGGGUGACCGGCCACAUUGGGACUGAGAUACGGCCCAGACUCCUACGGGAGGCAGCAGUGGGGAAUAUUGCACAAUGGGCGGAAGCCUGAUGCAGCAACGCCGCGUGCGGGAUGACGGCCUUCGGGUUGUAAACCGCUUUCGCCUGUGACGAAGCGUGAGUGACAGUAAUGGGUAAAGAAGCACCGGCUAACUACGUG